rnacentral:rRNA from 1 species
AACGAACGCUGGCGGCAUGCCUAACACAUGCAAGUCGAACGCGUGUAGCAAUACACGAGUGGCGAACGGGUGAGUAACGCGUGGGAACGUGCCCGAUCGUGGGGGAUAACGAAGCGAAAGCUUUGCUAAUACCGCAGACGAACUAAGGAUGAAAGCAGGGGACCGCAAGGCCUGGCGCGAACGGAGCGGACGAUGGCAGAUAAGGUAGUUGGUGGGAUAAAAGCUUACCAAGCCGACGAUCUGAAGCUGUUCUGAGAGGACGACCAGCCACACGGGGACUGAGACCCGGCCCAGACUCCUAGGGAAGGAAGAAGUGGGAAUUUUUGAAAAUUGGGCGAAAGCCUGACCCAGCAAGGCCGGGUUUGUGAGGAGGGCCUUCGGGUUGUAAAGCACUUUUGCCCGGAAAGAAAUGGCUCUGUUAAUACCUGGGGUCGAUGACGGUACCGGAAGAAUAAGGACCGGCUAACUACGUGCCAGCAGCCGCCGUAACAC